rnacentral:sRNA from 1 species
UCAUUGCUAUUUGAUUAUUGUUAUGGGU